AAAGGAAUUGACGGGGACCCGCACAAGCGGUGGAGCGUGUUCUUUAAUUCGAUGUUAAACGAAGAACCUUACCAGGACUUGACAUCCUUGGAAUUUUUAUGAAAGUAAAAAGUGCCUUUUGGAACCAAGUGACAGGUGUUGCAUGGCCGUCGUCAGCUCGUGUCGUGAGAUGUAGGGUUAAGUCCCUUAACGAGCGCAACCCUUGUGAUUAGUUGUAUUUUUCUAAUCAGACUGCCUCGGCAACGGGGAGGAAGGAGGGGAUGAUGUCAGGUCAGUAUUGCCCUUACGUCCUGGGCUAGAAACGCGCUACAAUGGCUAGUACAAAGGGCAGCCAACCCGCAAGGGGGAGCUAAUCCCAUCAAAGCUAGUCUCAGUUCGGAUUGCAGGCUGAAACUCGCCUGCAUGAAGCUGGAAUCGCUAGUAACCGUAAGUCAGCAAAUUACGGUGAAUACGUUCCCGGGUCUUGUACACACCGCCCGU
rnacentral:rRNA from 1 species